GGCGCGUUGGCAGAAUGGUUUAUGCGAUGGAUUGCAAAUCCAGCAAUCUCGGUUCAAUUCCGAGACGCGCCU
rnacentral:tRNA from 1 species